CUCGGCCUGUGCCUGCUCCCUCAUAGACUCCUGAUGGAAGAAAGCAGCCACACGGGACAAGGGCAGAUCAUCCUGCUCAAAGAUCUUAGCCUAAAAAACACAACAUGCACAAAUUACAGUCAUCAUCUCAAAGACCCAGAAAGGACAGCACAUUCUAAAAACAUGGCCCAUGUUUCCUUGCUCUCCCUGGACUGGAUGAUGGACAUGAGGGACUGGCCAGCCCCCGGGGGCCCGUUGGGUCAGGAGGGAAGAAAGGAGAACACCCAGCUUAUGGUCAGCCUUGGGUCACCAAGACCUGCACUCCUGACUUGACCUCUGCUCCUUUAAACACGUUUAUAAUCACCUUGUCCAGAUUUAUGUUCUGUUACCAGGAGGCCGCAGCCAAGAGCUGGACCGCUGGCUUGGAUCUCCCACCAGGAAGAGCCAGCCUUCUUCAUAGAUUCUGCUCUGUGCCUAGUGCUCUGCUCUUCUUCAUAUGGAUUCUUCAACCACAUGUCCAGAUACAAGUGAGAAAAUGCCAAGAGGGCUACAGAAUGUGGGCUACUGUAACUCACUGCUUAUGAUUUUACACUUAUUUGAAGUGAAAUAUCCAAUGUCAAAUAUUAGCACUCUGGAUCAUCAAUUGCUGUUGUGUAACUUAUAGGUGUCUGCAAUAAAUUAUGUACGUUUGCCUGAUCUUUACCUCUGAUGCCGUUACGGGGCUAUAAAUUAGAACAGAUAGUUAGCAUUCUUAAAAAGAAAAUUUUAUGUCCAUUUGCAAUUGACAUGUCCUCUUACUGUAUUAAUGCUUGUUGUUACUUUAUUAUUCAUUUACUUAUUUAAAGCAUGUUAUUAAAUAAAACAAUUGGGGAAAUUACUGUAUGUAGUUCUGAGGGGUGAGGAAUGUGAGUCUGGCCUUCGAUAUGUCCUGAAAGUUUAAGGAAUUACAUUUUUUAAAAAAAGCAAAACCAAAUUAGGAUUAGUUGUACACCAUUGCUGUAGAUGCUAAGUCAAACUUUUUUUUGUUCUAUGUUAAUACGUGUAAUAAUAAAAUAUAUAUACUGAUAAAACACAUUACCAUCAGUUAUCCCUUGAAACAUUUUUUUGUAUCAUUGCUUCUGAAACUCUGGCAUAUACAAAGCAAUAUAAUGAAUUGAGGAUCUUUUAAAAAGUGAAACAAUUCUGCAUUAAGUGGUUGUGCUAGUUUUAUACUGGGCAUGUCCUUAAUCUGCUAAUAAGACCUAAAGAAGCAAACCCAGAAAACUACACCCCUCACCCUUUCCCUCAACUUUAGACCCCUCAUUCUCAGUUGUCCCCUGGGCAUGAGGAGAACCAUGACAUUACACAGCCUUCUCUCUAAUUAACCAGUGACUUUCUCCAGGACAUCAAUCUGAGUCAGUCUAGCUCAAAACAAAAAAGCCAAAGAUCCUAUUAACUGUCAACAGCAAGGUUGCCCUUGGCCCUGAGCGGCUAGACACAGGAGGGCAAAAUGCAGCAGGACCUGAUGAAAACACCAUUUACACUGCCAGCCUGCUACAUAUGGCUAUUCCAUUUUUACGCAGGACUCUUUUAACACUUGGAAGGAAGGUGUGAAAGAAAAGUUACCUUCGG